UUUUUUUUUGAGUAGUCAGUUCCAUGUCAAUUUAUUUUAUUAUAAACUGGUAUAUUUUAAUAGCUACAAAUGCAGCUGUCAAAGAUUAUAAUCUUGAAUUUUAUAUCUGUCAACUGCCCAAUUUCAAUCCAAAUCCAACAAAACCAAAUAAUUUGUAUUUUUAACAUGGUAAUUCGGUUGAUUUUUUUUGUAAAUAAGUUAUUUAAGUAGUCAAUAAUUCAGCUAUUUUUCUUUUUAAAAUAUCUGUUAGAAAGAAAAAAAAAACUAGGGUAGCUUGGUCAUUUUGCAGAAAACUAGUGGAGCUCUUAAAAAGUUACAGUCGUGGACCGCAAAGAAAACAAGUUAUAUAAUAUAAAUAUACAGGGACUGCAUUAUUAUGUUGUGACCUUUUGGAAGCUUAUCCUCCAAGAUAUAAUUAAAAAGAGAUCAGAAGUUGAACAUUGCAGCUCAUUCGAUUUCUCAACUCAGCUAGUGAGUGAAGGCUGCUGUGGUAAAACGCAUAGAUGCACUAACAGGAGUGGAAGGCUAGAUCGUAAGAUAACACACUAAUUAGCCUUCAUAUUAACGGCCUCCUAAAGCAAAGAAAUCAGGAAGAGGCCUUAGCCAAAUUGAGUGGUUCACCUCUGCGAUGAGCCCUCCACACUUGUCUACUAUCUUGUAUGCUGACUUGCUGGUCCAGCUUUCUAUCUUGUACUGGCAUGGUUGAUUCUUAUCCAACCCAACAGUUAUAUUGCAUGGUGCAUCUCCUCUCAACAGCCUCAAAGUUUUUCUCACUUGAAAGCCAGGCUUGGUCUUGUCAAUUUCUGAACCUUCGCAUCUGUAGCCCUCCCAGAACCCCAACAACUUGAGUUUCUAGUUAGAGAAAAGCAAAGCACAACUUGUUAAAAGGGGAAUUUAGUGCAACUUUCACAAAAAGAUGUUGCUGUGUAUGUUACCUUUCUCAGUAUGGUGUACAGGACUUUGCCUUCGAAAUCCAUGAGAUGAACUUCAUUGCUACUCUUGCUGUCAUAGUUAUCGACCCGAUACACAACAUGGCCAUCUGAAUCAAACACAGUACAGCCUUUGCCACUCAGUACUAGAGACUUCAUCCACACCGUGAAUGAUUCUUGUUUGGAAGAGAGGUAACAAGGGUCUGAAGAAACAAGUGCUUGGGGAUGAACCUUUCCCAUCUCACCUGUCAAGUUUAACUUUGUCACUCCAGCAGCUACAGAGCACUUUAAAUACAAGUAUAUGUAAUAUUAUAGAACAACUUGGAACUGGGCGGGCUUACUUUUGUAAUUUUCUUUUGCCCACCAAUCGAUAUCUUUAUAGUUAA